rnacentral:rRNA from 1 species
UUGGAGGGCAAGUCUGGUGCCAGCAGCCGCGGUAAUUCCAGCUCCAAUAGCGUAUAUUAAAGUUGUUGCAGUUAAAAAGCUCGUAGUUGAAUUUCGAGACCGGCUUAUUGGUCGUGCUAUUGUACGUACUGGUAUAAUCGGUUUCUCCUUUCUGACGAACUAUAAUGCCAUUAAUUUGGUGUUUUAGGGAAUCAGGACUGUUACUUUGAAAAAAUUAGAGUGUUUAAAGCAGGCUCACGCUUGAAUACAUUAGCAUGGAAUAACGAAAUAGGACGUUUGACUUUAUUUUGUUGGUUUCUAGGAUCGACGUAAUGAUUAAUAGGGAUAGUUGGGGGCAUUAGUAUUCAAUUGUCAGAGGUGAAAUUCUUGGAUUUAUUGAAGACUAACUACUGCGAAAGCAUUUGCCAAGGAUGUUUUCAUUAAUCAAGAGCGAAAGUUAGGGGAUCGAAGACGAUCAGAUACCGUCGUAGUCUUAACCAUAAACUAUGCCGACUAGGGAUCGGAUGAUGUUAAUUUUUUAAUGACUCGUUCGGCGCCUUACGGGAAAC